GUAUCGGACCAUAGCUGUGGUGACACCGACCCAGUGGACGCUGAGACCAUAAGGCAAUCAUUUUCCCAAGAAGAUAUUAUACAAUGGCAACCUUCUGAUUUCAAGCAUUGCGACUUGUCUAUGCUCGUCAUUCAAGGUUUUCAAGUCCAAGAAAAAUUCAUGAAGUACAUAAAACGUCUCAUGAAAGUGGCAACAAAUUUGGAAGAGAUGUGUUUGUUGCGCGAUGAAUGCAAGAACUGUGGAUUUUACCGAUCUGGAGGAUAUCCGCGGACAGAUAAGGAGAGGGACUCAACGAGAAGACAGAUUAACCACGGAAGAUGCGCCCCGAUCAAAGUGACUUUUUGA
rnacentral:rRNA from 1 species